rnacentral:snoRNA from 1 species
UUAAAUGAUGAUAACAGUUACAUUGCUCGAAGGUCUAGUAUCGAUGUGAGCAAUACGAUUUCUCAAUAGACUACAACGGUAUCUGAUC